rnacentral:lncRNA from 1 species
CAGCCUUUCCCACGGCAGGGUCGUGGCUCCUCGAUUCUUUCUCAGGCUUUGAUUUCUAUUUGUGGUAUGUUUUUGUUCUAGGCCUCUGAGCGUGGUGGGUGGGGGCGGGGGUGGGGGGGCAGGGAGUGCUGUUUCUGGCUUCUCAGCACAUCCUCAUUCUCGGCUGGUGGUAAGAAAGGGGAGAGGGUCAGCUGCUGAGGACCGUCCUCCCCUGGGGGUUCCUGGAAUGUGUGAGCUGGGAGGACAGGUGCCCCGGCCUCUUUCUCGGAGAAGAGGAGAAGGAGCCUGGGGGGAAGGCACCCCAGUGACAACCGCAGAGGGAGGGCACCAACCCCCAACACAAACUCAGGGCCACCAACUCUGGGCCACCUCCGUGUGAGGAAGGCAAAGAAGGCAGUCUGCCCGGUCACUGAGGCUGAAACCUCAGAGCUGAGCUGUGGCCUCCACUCACCCACCACUGGCCCAUCCUCCCUCCACGGCAGGGGCGCCUUUCCCAGAAGGCUCUGGCGUUGCUUAGACCACAGCGGAGGCCGGUGCUCAACUUUUAGAAUUGCUGUUGGAAAUAAAUAAUUCAUAUAUGUAAAAAUGCUUAUAAUCGUGCCUGACACAGAGUGAACCCCCAUAAAAUGUGAGUGUUUGAGCUAUCCUUCUAGUAUAUUCUAGAAUGGCAUCUUUGGGCUUUGUGAGACUGGAUGUUUCUGCGCUAAGAGUAUUUUUCUUUCUUUCUUUUUGAGAUGGAGUCUCACUCUGUCACCCAGGCUGGAGCGCAGUGGCACAAUCUUGGCUCACUGCAACCUCCGCCUCCCAGAUUCAAGCGAUUUUCCUGCCUCAACCUCCCGAGUAGCUGGGGUUACAGGAAUGCGCCACCACGCCCAGCUAAUUUUUGUAUUUUCGUAGAGACAGGGUUUCACCAUGUUGGCCAGGCUGGUCUCAAACUGGUGACCUCAGGUGAUCCACUGGCCUCAGCCUCCCAAAGUGCUGGGACUACAGGCGUCUCGCUCUGUCGCCCAGGCUGGAUCGCAGUGACGCGAUCUCAGCUCACUGCAGCCUCAACCCCCUGGCUCCUGCGGGAGGUGCCAUCUGCCUCCAUGGUUCCUCCAUUGUUCUCAGAUCAACAGUGGGGCUCUG